rnacentral:rRNA from 1 species
GACGAACGCUGGCGGCGUGCUUAACACAUGCAAGUCGAACGAAGUGGCGAACGGGUGAGUAACGCGUAAUCAACCUGCCCUUCAGAGGGGGACAACAGUUGGAAACGACUGCUAAUACCGCAUACUGAAGGAGGGGAUUUCGUCUGAUUCGCUAGUUGGAGGGGUAACGGCCCACCAAGGGGAUGAUGAGUAGCCAGUUUGAGAGGAUGAACGGCCACAGUGGGACUGGGAAAAGGGCCAAGCUCCUACGGGAGGCAGCAGUGGGGAAGCUUCCGCAAUGGAAGAAAGUCUGACGGAGCAACGCCGGGUGAGUGAUGACGGCCUUCGGGUUGGAAAGCUCUGUUAAGCGGGACGCGGUACCGAAAUAGAAAGCCACGGCUAACUACGUGCCAGCAGCCGCGGUAAUUC